rnacentral:ncRNA from 1 species
AAAUAAUAUAAAAGUUAAAGCAUAUUAAAUUAAUAUUGAAAUAUAAAAAUAAUUUUGUUUUAAAAAAAUCUAACCUUAUACAUUAUAAAAGAACAAUUAAUAAAAUAAUUGAUUAAAUUUAAGUGCCAGCAAUCGCGGUUAUACUUUAAAUUAAAUUAUAUUAACUAUAAUUAACAUUAAUACUUAAAUAUUUUAAUUAAUAUAAAGUAAAAUUUCAUUACAUAAAUAUACAAUUUUUCCUUUAAUAAAAAUUUUAAAUUUAAAAUAGGAUUAGAUACCCUAGUAUAUUAAAAACUCUUAAGGUAGUAAAAAUUUUACUUAAAACCUAUUUACAAUGGCGGCAUUUUAUCUUAUUAGAGGAACCUAUUUUAUAAUGGACAAUACACAUUAAAUUUCACUUAAAUUAAAAAUUUAUAUAUCGCCAUCUAAAAAACUAAUCUAAUAAUAAUAUUUUCAAUAAUAAAUAAAAAGUUAGGUCAAGGUGUAAUCGAUAUUAAAGCAGUAACGGGUUACAUUAAAAAAUAUUUAAGGAUAAAAAAAUGAAAAUUUUUUUUAAAAAAGGAUUUAAAAGUAUUAUUAAAAUAAUAUUUCAAUAUGGUUAAGAUAAUAAAUGUGCACAUAUCGCCCGUCACCCUUAUCAAAAGGUAAGGCAAGUCGUAACAUAGUUGAUAUUUUGGAAAAAGUAUCAAG